UACAGAGGGUGCGAGCGUUAAUCGGAAUUACUGGGCGUAAAGCGCACGUAGGCGGCUUGGUAUGUCGGGUGUGAAAUCCCCGGGCUCAACCUGGGAACUGCAUCCGAAACUGCCUUGCUCGAGUAUGGGAGAGGGAAGUGGAAUUUCCGGUGUAGCGGUGAAAUGCGUAGAUAUCGGAAGGAACAUCAGCGGCGAAGGCGACUUCCUGGACCAAUACUGACGCUCAGGUGCGAAAGCGUGGGGAGCAAACAGG
rnacentral:rRNA from 1 species